AACUUUUAGCAAUGGAUCACUUGGCUCUCGCAUCGAUGAAGAACGCAGCGAAAUGCGAUAAGUAAUGUGAAUUCAGUGAAUCAUCGAAUCUUUGAACGCACCUUGCGCUCCUUGGUAUUCCGAGGAGCAUGCCUGUUUGAGUGUCAUUAAAUUCUCAACCUUCCAACUUUUAUUAGCUUGGUUAGGCUUGGAUGUGGGGGUUGCGGGCUUCAUUAACGAGGUCGGCUCUCCUUAAAUGUUUAAGCGGGACUUUGGUGGAACGACUAUCGGUGUGAUAAUUAUCUAGGCCGUGGAUGUGAGGCAGCUUUAUGAAGAUCAGCUUCUAUCCAUCCCUUAACUUGGACAAUUCUUGUCAAUUUGACCUCAAAUCAGGUAGGACUAACCGCUGAACUUAAGCAUAUCAAUAAGAGGAGGCU
rnacentral:misc_RNA from 1 species